GAUUUGACAAGGUGACCAUCUGUUUUCUCUUUCCCACUUAAUUACAAAAGGAAUGGUACUUGAAGCCCACCAAAAUACCCAGGGAGGAAUGGGAUUAUGACAUAUUCAUUUUCUCUGCAAAGUGCAAACCUAACACUUGCUCAUAUGGCCACAUUGAAGGGGAGCAGAAUUAGCACAUCUGCAACUGAUCUUCCACCACAGCUACUGGGACUGAAGUUAGUUAACCUGAAAACCUAAUGCCACUCAACGAAAGCCCAUUGAAGGGCACCCAAACCACUGGUAAAGCCUCCGUUUAGGAGAAACGAAUGCUCCAUUGGAUAACACCUUAUCUCACUGGCUUGCAUGAAAUCGUCUCCACUCAAGGUCUGAGUUUCUAUCGGCAGAGUUUGUUUGGUGAAAUAUGCUUGAAUCCAAGAGUACAGAAACAACCCCUUGUAAUGGAAAAUACAGAAGACUGGAAGUCGGAAUAUCUAGGUACCAGUUCCAGGGAUAAUUUUAAAUUAGCUAUUUGCCACUUUGUUCUCAUAAAACGAUUAUAGGCUGUGACUCAUUGAGGCCUAAAUUAUGUGAAGGUGCUAGAAAGAAAUCUGCUGAACAUCGGCUGUUGAGGACCAGUAACCGUUCAGACCCCGGGAGCAGGCGUCCUUCCACUGUGAUUCAGCCACAGAGGGAGAACUGUGCUGGACUUCAGCAUCUGGGCUCUGGGUGAAAACACUGCCACCUACAAAGGGUCUAGCUUGGGAAAGCAGUUUAAAUGCUCCAGACUUCAGUGUACUCAUCUGAUAAGAAAGUAUCAUCAUAAUAUAGUUAACCUCUACAUUUGUAGUAAGGAGCAAGUGAAAUAACA
rnacentral:lncRNA from 1 species